GUCCGUGCAGAAGCUUAUGUCGCCAAAUCCCAGUUUCUUGCUACUGUUUCACAUGAAAUCAGAACUCCCAUGAAUGGCAUCCUCGAUACGGAUUUAAGUUCAACACAGAGAAUAUGCUCAAACGGCUCAGGCUUGCGGAUGGGCUUUAAUCACUUUGAUCAAUGAAGUGCUUGAUCGGGCUAAGAUUGAAGACAGGAAGUUGGAACUAGAGGCGGUCCCGUUUGAUCUACGGUCCAUAUUAGAUGACGUACUCUCGUUAUUUUCUGAAAAGUCCCGAAAUAA